GAGUUUGAUCAUGGCUCAGGAUAAACGCUGGCGGCGCACAUAAGACAUGCAAGUCGAACGGACCGAAUUAAGAUAUUUAUAUUUUAAGGAGGUUAGUGGCGGACUGGUGAGUAACACGUAAGUAACCUGGCUGUUAGAGGGGAAUAACAGUGAGAAAUCAUUGCUAAAUACCACAUACUCUAUAUCGGUUGCAUGACAGAUAUAGGAAAGGAGAAAUCCGCUAACAGAUGGGCUUGCGGCUGAUUAGCUAGUUGGUUAGGUAAGGCUGACCAAGGCAACGAUCAGUAGCCGAGUUGAGAGACUGAACGGCCACA
rnacentral:rRNA from 1 species